rnacentral:rRNA from 1 species
CGCGUAGGUGGAGAUAUAAGUAGUCGGUGAAAGACCUGGGCUUAGCCUGGGGGCGACCGAGUAGACUAUAUUUCUAAGAGUGACGGAGAGGGUAGUGGAAUUUCCGGAGUAGCGGUGAAAUGCGUAGAGACCGGAAGGAACACCGGUGGCGAAGGCGGCUACCUGGCCAGACACUGACACUGAGGCGCGAAGGCGUGGGGAGCGAACA